rfam:Candidatus Thrbacteria bacterium RIFCSPLOWO2_02_FTLL_48_12 rifcsplowo2_02_scaffold_4017, whole genome shotgun sequence.
GGGGGCGUGGUGAAGUGGUAUCAUGAACGACUCCAAAUCGCUCGUCGUGGGUUCGAUUCCUACCGCCCCUG